UACGUAGGGUGCAAGCGUUAAUCGGAAUUACUGGGCGUAAAGCGUGCGCAGGCGGUUCUAUAAGACAGAUGUGAAAUCCCCGGGCUCAACCUGGGAACUGCAUUUGUGACUGUAGAGCUGGAGUACGGUAGAGGGGGAUGGAAUUCCGCGUGUAGCAGUGAAAUGCGUAGAUAUGCGGAGGAACACCGAUGGCGAAGGCAGCCCCCUGGGAUAACACUGACGCUCAUGCACGAAAGCGUGGGGAGCAAACAGG
rnacentral:rRNA from 1 species